rnacentral:rRNA from 1 species
AUACGUAGGGGGCGAGCGUUGUCCGGAAUUACUGGGCGUAAAGGGUGCGUAGGCGGUUCAUUAAGUUAGAAGUGUAAUACCCAGGGCUUAACUCGGGUGCUGCUUCUAAAACUAAUGGGCUUGAGUGCAGGAGGGGAGAGUGGAAUUCCUAGUGUAGCGGUGGAAUGCGUAGAUAUUAGGAAGAACAUCAGUGGCGAAGGCGACUCUCUGGCCUGUAACUGACGCUGAGGCACGAAAGCGUGGGUAGCAAACAGGAUUAGAUACCCUGGUAGUCCACGCCGUAAACGAUGGAUACUAGAUGCAGGAGGUAUUGACUCCUUCUGUGUCGCAGUUAACGCAUUAAGUAUCCCGCCUGGGGAGUACGGCCGCAAGGCUAAA